rnacentral:rRNA from 1 species
CGUUAUGGUUCUAUUUUGUUGGUUUCUAGGACCAUCGUAAUGAUUAAUAGGGACGGUCGGGGGCAUCAGUAUUCAGUUGUCAGAGGUGAAAUUCUUGGAUUAACUGAAGACUAACUACUGCGAAAGCAUUUGCCAAGGACGUUUUCAUUAAUCAAGAACGAAAGUUAGGGGAUCGAAGAUGAUCAGAUACCGUCGUAGUCUUAACCAUAAACUAUGCCGACUAGGGAUCGGGUGGCGCUUCUUGCCCACUCGGCACCUUACGAGAAAUCAAAGUCUUUGGGUUCUGGGGGGAGUAUGGUUGCAAGGCUGAAACUUAAAGGAAUUGACGGAAGGGCACCACCAGGAGUGGAGCCUGCGGCUUAAUUUGACUCAACACGGGGAAACUCACCAGGUCCGGACACAAUAAGGAUUGACAGAUUGAGAGCUCUUUCUUGAUUUUGUGGGUGGUGGUGCAUGGCCGUUCUUAGUUGGUGGAGUGAUUUGUCUGCUUAAUUGCGAUAACGAACGAGACCUUAACCUACUAAAUAGUGCUGCUAGCUUUUGCUGGUAUAGUCACUUCUUAGAGGGACUAUCGAUUUCAAGUCGAUGGAAGUUUGAGGCAAUAACAGGUCUGUGAUGCCCUUAGACGUUCUGGGCCGCACGCGCGCUACACUGACGGAGCCAACGAGUAUUAACCUUGGCCGAGAGGUCUGGGAAAUCUUGUGAAACUCCGUCGUGC